GCAGUCGUACGAGAGUUUUUAACUCAAGUGGCGGACGGGUGAGUAACACGUAAGAAUUUGCCUUUAGGAGGGGGACAACAACUGGAAACGGUUGCUAAUACCCCAUAUGCUUUAUAGUGAAACGGAUUUUCCGCCUAAAGAGAAGCUUGCGGCUGAUUAGCUUGUUGGUGAGGUAAUGGCUUACCAAGGCGACGAUCAGUAUCUGGUUUGAGAGGAUGAUCAGACACACUGGAACUGAGACACGGUCCAGACUCCUACGGGAGGCAGCAGUAGGGAAUUUUCCGCAAUGGGCGAAAGCCUGACGGAGCAAUACCGCGUGAGGGAUGACUGCCUAUGGGUUGUAAACCUCUUUUUUCAGGGAGGAAUAUAAUGACGUGUACCUGAAGAAUAAGCAUCGGCUAACUCCGUGCCAGCAGCCGCGGUAAGACGGAGGAUGCAAGUGUUAUCCGGAAUCACUGGGCGUAAAGCGUCUGUAGGUGGUCAAAUAAGUCAACUGUUAAAUCUUGAGGCUCAACCUCAAAAUCGCAGUCGAAACUAUUAGACUAGAGUAUAGUAGGGGUAAAGGGAAUUUCCAGUGGAGCGGUGAAAUGCGUAGAGAUUGGAAAGAACACCGAUGGCGAAGGCACUUUACUGGGCUAUUACUAACACUCAGAGACGAAAGCUAGGGUAGCAAAUGGGAUUAGAUACCCUGGUAGUCCCCU
rnacentral:rRNA from 1 species